GACGAACGCUGGCGGUGUGCUUAACACAUGCAAGUCGAGCGGUAAGGCCCUUUCGGGGGUACACGAGUGGCGAACGGGUGAGUAACACGUGAGUAACCUGCCCUCAUCUCUGGGAUAACAGUCGGAAACGGUUGCUAAUACUGGAUAUGAGCUUGCAAGGCAUCUUGUGGGUUGGAAAGAUUUUUUUGGUUGGGGAUGGACUCGCGGCCUAUCAGCUUGUUGGUGAGGUAGUGGCUCACCAAGGCUUCGACGGGUAGCCGGCCUGAGAGGGCGACCGGCCACAUUGGGACUUGGAUACGGCCCCAACUCCUACGGGAGGCAGCAGUGGGGAAUAUUGCACAAUGGACGGAAGUCUGAUGCAGCAACGCCGCGUGCGGGAUGACGGCCUUCGGGUUGUAAACCGCUUUCAAUUGUGACGAAGCUUUUUGUGACGGUAGCAGUAGAAGAAGCACCGGCUAACUACGUG
rnacentral:rRNA from 1 species